rnacentral:rRNA from 1 species
CCUACGGGAGGCAGCAGUGAGGAAUAUUGGUCAAUGGGCGCGAGCCUGAACCAGCCAAGUAGCGUGAAGGAUGACUGCCCUACGGGUUGUAAACCUCUUUUAUAAAGGAAUAAAGUGAGGCACGUGUGCCGUUUUGUAUGUACUUUAUGAAUAAGGAUCGGCUAACUCCGUGCCAGCAGCCGCGGUAAUACGGAGGAUCCGAGCGUUAUCCGGAUUUAUUGGGUUUAAAGGGUGCGUAGACGGGAUGUUAAGUCAGGCGGGAAAGUUUGGGGCUCAACCGUAAAAUAGCAAUUGAUACUGGCAGUCUUGAGUACAGGUGAAGUAGGCGGAAUGCGUGGUGUAGCGGUGAAAUGCAUAGAUAUCACGAAGAACUCCGAUUGCGAAGGCAGCUUACUAAACUGCCACUGACAUUGAUGCUCGAAAGUGUGGGUAUCGAACAGGAUUAGAUACCCUAGUAGUC